GGAAGUAGACAGGCCAAGAACAUGGAAAAUAAGUGAAGCUGAGCAAAUCAACAACACAAUUUGACAGUAUCGCUACACAGCUGAUCAGAACUUUGUUCGAUAGGAUGAUUGGAAAAGAAAACAGAAAGGUUCAACAUUAUAGUGACAGUUCAAUAACAUUUGCAAGAAUAUUUCAUCAUUCAGUUUUGAAUGGUCUUGUUUCAUACAAAAUGUGAUUCAUGCAAGAGUUAUGUUGUUUUAAAUUAAGUACAUUCAACAUUACUAGAAAUACAUAUUUAAGUAUUCAUUAUUUUCAUUGAUUUGAAUAAAGAAUGCUUGUACCA